AACAAGCAAGCGAGAAAAAUUAAGGAGAAAAUAAGAGGGUAGGAACAUUGUGGGCGUUUCGUGGGCGUGUCAUCGUUCUGGGCGAAUCGGCUUUCGCAAUCUUGUAUCACAUGACUAAUUCAAAUCGUCAUAGGCGGGAAGCAGCAUUACGUCAUCCCUACGUCAAAUAAAACGUUAUUAAAACGCGUUGUGGAUACGUUUGUGCCAUAUAUGGAAGUUAUGGAUACGUUUGUGCCAUAUAUGGAAGUGUCACUGCAUCCAGCUUAUGACAACGAUGUUCCUACCCUCUUAUUUCUCCUUAAUUUUUCUCGCUUGCUUAUUAUUCUGGCAGGAGGGGCGGCAAUGCCGUGCAGCAUGUAGAUUGGGACGAGUAAACAUGGCGAUGGCAGACGAAGCAGAUAUGGAAUUUGUUUCGAAUAUU